rnacentral:rRNA from 1 species
UACGGAGGGGGCUAGCGUUGUUCGGAAUUACUGGGCGUAAAGCGCACGUAGGCGGCUUUGUAAGUUAGAGGUGAAAGCCCAGGGCUUAACCCUGGAAUUGCCUUUAAGACUGCAUCGCUUGAAUCCGGGAGAGGUGAGUGGAAUUCCGAGUGUAGAGGUGAAAUUCGUAGAUAUUCGGAAGAACACCAGUGGCGAAGGCGGCUCACUGGACCGGUAUUGACGCUGAGGUGCGAAAGCGUGGGGAGCAAGCAGG